rnacentral:rRNA from 1 species
GACAGAGGGGGCAAGCGUUGCUCGGAAUUACUGAGCGUAAAGGGCGCGUAGGCGGGCUGGCAAGUCGGUCGUGAAAUCCCUCGGCUCAACUGAGGAUCGUCGAUCGAUACUGCCGUUCUUGAGGAUUGCAGAGGAGACUGGAAUUCCCGGUGUAGCGGUGAAAUGCGCAGAUAUCAGGAGGAACACCGGUGGCGAAGGCGGAUCUCUGGGCCUUGCCUGACGCUGAGGCGCGAAAGCUAGGGGAGCGAACAGG